UACGUAGGGUGCAAGCGUUGUCCGGAAUUAUUGGGCGUAAAGAGCUCGUAGGCGGUUUGUCGCGUCUGCUGUGAAAACCCGAGGCUCAACCUCGGCCUGCAGUGGGUACGGGCAGACGUAGAGUGCGGUAGGGAUGAUUGGAAUCCUGGUGUAAGCGGUGGAAUGCGCAGAUAAUCGAGGAGGACACCCGUAGCGAAGCGGCACUCGUGGCCGGAACUGACGCUGAGGAGCGAAAGCGUGGGGGGAGCGAACAGGAUUAGACUACCCGG
rnacentral:rRNA from 1 species